UGAACCUACGGGGGCAGCAGUGGGGAAUAUUGCACAAUGGGGGAAACCCUGAUGCAGCGACGCCGCGUGAGUGAAGAAGUAUUUCGGUACGUAAAGCUCUAUCAGCAGGGAAGAAAAAAAGUCCUUUGGACUUUGGACGGUACCUGACUAAGAAGCCCCGGCUAACUACGUGCCAGCAGCCGCGGUAAUACGUAGGGGGCAAGCGUUAUCCGGAUUUACUGGGUGUAAAGGGAGCGUAGACGGCAGCGCAAGUCUGAAGUGAAAUCCCAUGGCUUAACCAUGGAACUGCUUUGGAAACUGUGCAG
rnacentral:rRNA from 1 species